rnacentral:rRNA from 1 species
GACGAACGCUGGCGGCGUGCCUAAUACAUGCAAGUAGAACGCUGAAGGAGGAGCUUGCUUCUCUGGAUGAGUUGCGAACGGGUGAGUAACGCGUAGGUAACCUGCCUGGUAGCGGGGGAUAACUAUUGGAAACGAUAGCUAAUACCGCAUAAGAGUAGAUGUUGCAUGACAUUUGCUUAAAAGGUGCAAUUGCAUCACUACCAGAUGGACCUGCGUUGUAUUAGCUAGUUGGUGGGGUAACGGCUCACCAAGGCGACGAUACAUAGCCGACCUGAGAGGGUGAUCGGCCACACUGGGACUGAGACACGGCCCAGACUCCUACGGGAGGCAGCAGUAGGGAAUCUUAGGCAAUGGACGGAAGUCUGACCGAGCAACGCCGCGUGAGUGAAGAAGGUUUUCGGAUCGUAAAGCUCUGUUGUAAGAGAAGAACGAGUGUGAGAGUGGAAAGUUCACACUGUGACGGUAUCUUACCAGAAAGGGACGGCUAACUACGUG